GUAAGGCGAUGUGAUGCGACAAAAUUACACGGACAGCACAUGGCAAUAUGAGGGGGCUGCCGCUGGAUGUCCCUCCAUCUCCUCCUCCUCCGUCGUCUCUCAAUUCUAAUUGGGGUUUCACAGUAAAAUAAAAUUCUCUCGCUCUCUCGCUCGUCCCGUAUUCUAAACCCUAAACUCAUUUUUCCUUAUCAUAAACAUCAUUUGUAUCAUCCUGUUAGGGUUUCAAAAAAAAAAAAAAAUCUCUAGAAGAAGAAAUUGAAUGAAAAAUUAGAAGAAAAUGUAUAACGGAAUUGGGUUUCAGACAGCAAAAAUUUCAGGAACAAAUGGUUAUAUACAAACAAACAAUUUCUUUGUAAGACCAAAGAUUGGGAAAGUAGAAACAAAAGCAUUUGAAGGGGAUUCAGAAAUUGAUUGAGAACACCAGAUUCAUCUCAAAUUGGCUGUUGUAGAAGAUGAAUUGAUUGGACAAGGUUAUACAUACUGAUGAUGAUGGCAUUUCCCAGAAGCUUGAUCAAACAUCCUUUGGAGGGAGGAAACAACAACCAAGGUUUCAGGUACUCAGUCAGACCCAUCAAAUUGCUGCUAGAAAGGAGAGACACAUGGAGACUUUAGUGACUAAUCUUGGGAUAAAUAAAGUUGAUGAAACUUCUUUACUUCAGGAAGAAAGGAAACUGGAAAUUGUGCUGGGAAGCCUGGAAUCUGAUUCUGAAUUAAGUGAAGGAGAGAUUCCAAAUUCCAAAUGAAGACAUGAUUGAGAAAACUGAGCCUAGCAAACGUUAGAAAGAUGUUUCUAAGAAGGCUGAGAAGUUUAGACACCGUGGAAAGGAAGAUAACAGGAAGAGAGGGUAUAAGGUAAUUCUUCUGAUACAGAUAAUAGUUCAAAACAUGGAAAAGGUUUCAGGAAGAAACAUUGGAUAAGGUUUGAUGCUGAAAAUUCUGAAACCGUUUAUGAUAAGCGCAAGGAGAAGAUGGAAACAUGGUAGUGAAACAUUGAGGAGAAGUCUCAGAAGAAGAAGACAUGAUCCAGAAGAGGAAAACUCGGAUACUGAUAGUGGGAGGAAGCAUGCUAAAGAUUGGUGCAGAAGCAUUAGAUUACAAAAGAGAAGAUACACUAACUGAUGUCAGUGAGAGCAGUGAUAGUGGCAGCAGGAUCACAGAUGCCUCUAGCAGAAGGAACAGUGACAGUGAUUCAAGCCGUAGUAGUGACGAUGAUCACUCUGGAAGAUCUGGUAUGAAGUGGUUUGUUGACGUUAAGAAAGGAUCCAGUUCUAGGAAGGCCCCACCUGAUAGGUACGAGCAAGGAGGGACAUUUGAGAGGAAAGAUAUGUAAACCGAGAAAUAAGAGAGAAGGAAAAGCCAGAAGCUGGAGGAAGCAAAGAACUGUCAGAGUUGUACUCAAGAGAUGCCCAUUCCAGAAAAAAGAGCGAACAUGAAAUUCAUAGGUAGAGCAGGGCAAGAUUUGAUUCAGAUGACUGACCGUCUAAGAAAAAAGUCAGUCGAAAAGGGGAAAGACCCUUCGCCUUCUGAUAGGCUGAGGUAUGAGUUGCGGGUAAACGUCUUAAUGAAGAAUGGAGCGGUUGUACUCACAAAGGAUUUGGACAUGAACACGGAAAGAUAUAACCCGGUAGGGGUGAACUUCACUAAGACGUUAUAUCUUAGUGAGUAGCACUUCUCUGUUCUUCAUUAAGACGUUCAUCCGGUGAAGAGGAGUGUGGAGGCGGAAGAUCAAAAUGAAUAGAUGGGACCAGCACUACUCUUGCUCAAGAAGUAAUGAUGAUGAUGGUGGCAGUGGUGGUGGAGGAGGUGCGUUUCCGCUUCUUGUCAAACUUUGGUGGUGAUGGUGGAGGUUGGCUUGGUGGUGGAGGUGAGGACUAGGAGGUGGCUGACGAUGCGGAAUAAGUUAGGUGUUGCAAAGCAAGGGAAGAACAUGUAUAAUUUUGAAGAAUUGCUUACCUUGUCGUCUUUUGAUUUUCUGUGCCAUUGUUUCUUGUCAGAUUGAUUCUGAAAUAAAUUUUUAUGUCCAUGCGAUGGAGGACCUUAUUCCCAGAAUUUUAGGUUUGAUUGCCGAUGAACAAGGUACCUUGCUUGACUAUUGUUCUUUCAUCUUGGAUGGUUGAAAAGUUACUGGGUUGUGGCAGUGUUAGUUUUGUUUUAGAAUAUUGAAUGAAAAUUUUGCCUAUUCGUCUUGUUGCUUUUCGCCCUUCUGUGUGCAACUAUUGGUAUACACCGUGCAUAACACAUGAAACCCCCUUAUCUCUCUUGCUGGGUUCAUGUUCCUCCUGUAACUGUUAAAUUCCUCAUCUCAUUCUGGUAAAUCUCAUUGUUACUGCUCAAUACUUCAGUUUAGAAUCCGUAAACCAGUAGUAUAUCUGUUUGAAUCCCACUGCUGUCCCUGAAUGUUUAUUACAGAAGUUAAGGUCUAGUGCUGAUUCGGUGGGUUCUGCUUUGUCUUCAUGAUUCAUCUCUAACUAUAUGCUAUAUUUUAAUGUGAUUAUCAUGAUUCAACAUAGUGGAUUUAAAUUUCUUACAUUUGAGUAUAUGAAACAAAUCUGUGGUGCAAUGGUAGCACAACAUAGAUGAUGUGUGUUUGACUCGCCCCAGGUUCACUCAUUCGAGUAUAUCAAAAUGAUCUGUGGUGCAACAGUUAUCCUUCCUUUAUUCAAGCGUAAGCUGUUGAGUGUUGUUUGAGUUUCAUCAUUAUUCAAUAUAUGCAGGCGACUCAAUCAUGAACUAGGUAGGAUUGUAGCGAUGGGGUUUAAGUUGGCAUCAACUGCAAGACGUUAACAGGUAAAGGUGCAAGCAAAGCUGGUUCGAGCCGCAGGAAGUUCUGUUAAAGUUUACUCUUUGACGUAGUUGUCGAAGAAGAGGCAGGAGGUGAAGGUUGAGAUUGAGAAUGCCAAUAUCGCCACUUUCUAGAAUGUUCCAGCUGGGGCCUGGGUGUGACUACAAAAGUUGCAGGACCUUUCACUGGUUAUCAUGUCUGAUAAACACACCUUACCACCCACACCCAGUGUUCUGGAACAAUUUGGUGGAUUUUUAUUUUGAUGUAUUAAAUUUGGAAAAAGCUAAAAGUGGAUUUCUGGUCAGCAAAACCUGAAUAUUUCUGGCAAAAAAAAAUCUGUUUUGUUUGUA